ACAAAUCUGAACGGCCGGAAUUAGGGUUUUUGUAGUAAGAGGAGUAAAUUGACUAUCCGUUCCGGUCGAUCGGAGAAAUUUCUGAGUAAUGGCGAACGAGAAGGUGGAAUUUCAAGUGUACAAUUCAAUGACGAGACAGAAGGAAGUAUUCAUACCGAAGGAACCUGGCAAGGUCAAAAUGUACGUUUGUGGCGUUACGAGUUACGAUUACAGUCAUAUCGGCCAUGCUCGUGCCUAUGUCGCUUUCGACCUUCUCUACAGAUAUCUGAAAUACUUGGGAUAUGAGGUUAUGUAUGUGCGCAACUUCACCGAUGUAGACGACAAGAUAAUUCGUAGGGCUAAUGAGCUUGGAGAAGAUCCAACAGCUCUGAGUGGUCGAUACUGCCAAGAGUUUCUAAAAGACAUGGAUGAUCUCCAGUGCCUCCAACCGACUCAUCAGCCACGUGUUACUGAGCACAUGGAGCAGAUUAAGGAAAUGAUAGCUAAGAUUAUGGCUAAUGGCUGUGCAUACACAAUCAAUGGAGAUGUUUAUUUCUCUGUUGAUAGUUUUCCAGAGUAUGGUCGAUUGUCCGGACGAAAAUUAGAAGAUAAUCGAGCUGGAGAACGAGUUGAAGUUGAUUCAAGAAAGAAAAAUCCUGCCGACUUUGCCUUGUGGAAGUCUGCAAAGCCUGGUGAACCAAGUUGGGAGAGCCCCUGGGGUCCUGGAAGACCAGGUUGGCAUAUAGAAUGCAGUGCAAUGAGUGCGCACUACCUGACACAUUCCUUUGAUAUACAUGGUGGUGGAAUGGACUUGACUUUUCCUCACCAUGAAAAUGAGAUUGCCCAG
rnacentral:misc_RNA from 1 species